AGUGAACGCUGGCGGCGUGCUUAACACAUGCAAGUCGAACGAGAACGGAUUAUAGCUUGCUAUAAUUGUCAGCUAAGUGGCGCACGGGUGAGUAAUGUAUAGGUAAUAUGCCUCUUACUAAGGGAUAACAAAUGGAAACGUUUGCUAAUACCUUAUACUCCUUAUUAACAGAAGUUAAGAAUGGAAAGAUUUAUUGGUAAGAGAUUAGCCUGUAUUGUAUCAGUUAGUUGGUGGGGUAAUGGCUUACCAAGACUAUGACACAUAACUGGUUUGAGAGGAUGAUCAGUCACACUGGAACUGAGACACGGUCCAGACUCCUACGGGAGGCAGCAGUGGGGAAUAUUGCACAAUGGACGGAAGUCUGAUGCAGCAACGCCGCGUGGAGGAUGACACAUUUCGGUGCGUAAACUCCUUUUAUAUGAGAAGAUAAUGACGGUAUUAUAUGAAUAAGCACCGGCUAACUCCGUGCCAGCAGCCGCCGUAA
rnacentral:rRNA from 1 species